GGAGAUCGCACCGGCGCGGUGGCUGCGGGAGGCGGAGCCGCCCUGCACCCGGAAGGAAGCGCCUGGGAUGGCUUUGUGCCCGGCAGAGCCUUGCAGAGUGUGUCGUGGAAUCCGUGUUGAGUAAUAGUGCCACAGUCGGCCGUGACUGAGGAAGCAGCGCGAUACCUGUCAGUAAGGAUCUUCGAAACUAGAGCUUUAGAAUAUAUAAAAAGGAAACAUGCAGCUUGAGAAAGGAAGAUGAAGAUCAACUCAAGGAUUAAUAGUUUCAACCAAGGGAAGCUGGACAUCACUGUUAUGAGAUUUAUAGCCCUUGCAGUCAAAAGGUGGACCCACAUCUGGAGACUGGACCUCACCACCUGGGAGACUUCUUCCUUCUUUCGGAAACUGAACCACCACCACCACCUGCUUUUCUGGGAUACAUCCUGAGAAAAACUAAAUCACAAUAGUGUAUAAAAUUGUGACAUAAAAAUUGGGAAUAGAAACUGCUGAGAAAAGUUAUGAGUACCCCUGUAAAUACCUGUAAGCCCCAACUAUCUUUGUGCAGUUAGAGGGAAAACUUCCCCCACUGUACCCAGCGCUCUAUUGCUUAUACUUUACCAUAUUAAUUAAUAAAGUGAUUGCUGCUUGAA